rnacentral:rRNA from 1 species
AACGAACGCUGGCGGCGUGGAUUAGGCAUGCAAGUCGAACGGGAUCCAAACCUGUAGCAAUACAGGGUUGGUGAGAGUGGCGGAAGGGUGAGUAACGCGUGGGCAAUUUGCCUCUUAGUUAGGGAUAGCCUCCCGAAAGGGUGGAUAAUACCGGAUAUGGUCGUGCCGCGCAUGCGGCACUAUCCAAAGGCGGGGAUCUUCGGACCUGCCGCUAGGAGAUGAGCCCGC